rnacentral:pre_miRNA from 1 species
CAACUACUCCCUCUGUCCCAAAUUUCUUGUCUUAGAUUUGUCUAGAUACGGAUGUAUCUAAUNUCCCAAAUUUCUUGUCUUAGAUUUGUCUAGAUACGGAUGUAUCUAAUACUAAAAUGUGACUUGAUACAUCCGUAUCUAGACAAAUCUAAGACAAGAAUUUUGGGACGGAGGGAGUACUUU